ACCUCCUCCAUGGAACUUCUGUUGUCAUCCAGUGGCUGAAAUCAACUGGAAGCCUACAGGGAAAGACCUGCCUCCUGGGACACAGAGCAGCUGUUGAUAUCGAUGGAAUUCCUGACCAGUAACAUUUCCAUGAAGAUCAUUACAAUUUAUUUCUUGAAAUUCUGGGAAGGCAUGGAAACAUCACAUUGCAGCAGAUGCUGGGGAUGCAGCAAUGAACAAGACAGGCCAGAUCCCUACUCUCAGAUAAACACAAUGAUCCAGGUCAGUAGGCAUUUGGUAGGAAUCUGCAUCAAACUGUUGGGCAAUGGUAGACAGCAACAUUGACGUCUGUAAAUUUACACUUGGAUUCUUAGUUUCUGGUUGGCUGCAUCCUUCUUCUGAAGGCCACUGCUCUUUUCAGAAGACCUCCCUAGAUGGCUAAGCUCUCUGGGUUGCAACAGUUGCUCUUUUUCCUUGAGCCUUAGGUUAGGGAGUUGGGAGGAAGUAAUGGCUUCCCCCACUGCUAGCUCCAGGGUGCUACACUUUCUCUUUUCUAGUUUCCCUAAUCUGGCUUACACCAUUAUAGAUAGACCCUUUAUUAAAAUAUCCUCAAUUUAUCCA
rnacentral:lncRNA from 10 species